rfam:Kluyvera intestini strain GT-16 tig00000000, whole genome shotgun sequence.
AUAUUUACCGCGCAAGGAUGAAGUUUAAAAUAAUUACCGAACGGACGCGUUGCUGUGUGUACUGUAGAGCCUGACGGAUGUCGGCAGGCUCUAUUUUUUUAU